UACGGAGUAUCCGAGCGUUAUCCGGAUUUACUGGGUGUAAAGGGUGCGUAGGUGGCGUGGCAAGUCAGAAGUGAAAACUCCGGGCUCAACCCGGAGACUGCUUUUGAAACUGCCGUGCUCGAGUGCAGGAGAGGAAAGCGGAAUUCCUAGUGUAGCGGUGAAAUGCGUAGAUAUUAGGAGGAACACCAGUGGCGAAGGCGGCUUUCUGGACUGUUACUGACACUGAUGCACGAAAGCGUGGGGAGCAAAC
rnacentral:rRNA from 1 species